GCGCUCAUGGUGUAGUGGUUUUGCAUGCCACCUUCCCAUACACGCCAUGUGGAUCGCAAGGUGGAGGUCAGGGGUUCGAACCCCCUUGGGCGCA